UACACUCCUGCGGGAGGCAGCAGUGGGGAAUAUUGGACAAUGGGCGCAAGCCUGAUCCAGCCAUGCCGCGUGAGUGAUGAAGGCCCUAGGGUUGUAAAGCUCUUUCACCGGUGAAGAUAAUGACGGUAACCGGAGAAGAAGCCCCGGCUAACUUCGUGCCAGCAGCCGCGGUAAUACGAAGGGGGCUAGCGUUGUUCGGAUUUACUGGGCGUAAAGCGCACGUAGGCGGACUAUUAAGUCAGGGGUGAAAUCCCGGGGCUCAACCCCGGAACUGCCUUUGAUACUGGUAGUCUUGAGUUCGAGAGAGGUGAGUGGAAUUCCGAGUGUAGAGGUGAAAUUCGUAGAUAUUCGGAGGAACACCAGUGGCGAAGGCGGCUCACUGGCUCGAUACUGACGCUGAGGUGCGAAAGCGUGGGGAGCAAACAGGAUUAGAUACCCUAGUAGUCCCAUGAU
rnacentral:rRNA from 1 species